rnacentral:lncRNA from 1 species
UUUUUUUUUUUUUUUUUUUGUCUUUUGUCUUUUUGUUGUUAUUGUUGUUGUUGCUAUUUUUUGGGCCGCUCCCGCGGCAUAUGGAGGUUCCCAGGCUAGGGGUUGAAUCGGAGCUGUAGCCACCGGCCUACGCCAGAGCCACAGCAACGCGGGAUCCGAACUGCGUCUGCAACCUACACCACAGCUCACGGCAACGCCGGAUCGUUAACCCACUGAGCAAGGCCAGGAACCGAACCCGCAACCUCAUGGUUCCUAGUCAGAUUCGUUAACCACUGCGCCACGACAGGAACUCCUGCAGUUGGAUUCUUAACGCACCGCACCACUGUGAGAACUCGCCAAGAUAUAUUUUGAGCAAAUAAAUGAACUUCAAUUGUGCACACUGUUUUUCCUAGUGGACAAAAUAAUUAUAAUACAUUCAGAAACUAGCUUGGUUUGUUACUAAGUACUGCUCACAUUGUUUCUAUACUAAGCUAUACCUCCAUGUAGAGAAUCCAUACUUAUUCCAAGUGCUAUGUGAGUUUCUGGGGAUGUGGAGAUUUUUAAACAGAAAAAUUAAAACGAAUUCAUGUUUGCAGACUCCCUGAAAUAGCCCAGGUACUGUGCUGAGUGCCUUCACAUACAUUUUUUUUUUUUUUCAAUUAACCUUCACCUAAAUCUUAUGAGAUAAUAUAUGAUUAUUAUGAUUUUAAAGAAACAAGAUGAUCUCAGAGGGAUUGAGUAUACCAAAGUCUCAGAGCUAAUCCGUGGGGAAAAUUGAUACUCAAACUCAGGUUCCUGCCCUUUUUUCCUCCAACCCUGCUUGGGGCCUAUGGCCAAGAACCUCAGACUUUCCACCCCUUGCUAGAAGCCUGCAGGGAACAGAGCAAUGUCACACAAGUCUGAAACCUCACAGUUUCCGCUCUGCAGAGGGAACUCCGUAAUCCAUUGUUCCAAGGUCAUUGAAGGGAAAAAUACAUGCCUUUGCCUCAGAGAAAUCAUCAUGUUUGUUACUCGCAGUGCUUUUUGUCUUGUUUUAAAAUUUAAUUGGAGCUCAGACUUUGCUUCUGUGACUGCCAAAUGACCAAGAGUUCAGCGGCCCUGCUGUGGGCUUUUCAGCCAAUUCAUGAGGGUUAUUUUAUUUGACAAGGGUCCUGUUUUAAUGGGAAGGGUUGUCACAUCCCAUUCACAUCCUAUUUUUGAUCUCGCCGCAGCAAAUUCGGUUGAACUAUUCCCAUGCUCUCAUCACUGUCCCUUCCCAGUUCUUGCUUUUAGCAGCCCCCCUUUGAUUUGGAGAGAGAGAGAGCACGUCCUGGUCAAGCUGUUUCCUGCCUCACCGGAUUUUCCCAACACCUGAAUAUACUCUUCCGCGGCCAGCAGGGUGGAAGGUGCCAGAAUUCUACGGCAGCAGCUGCACAGCCAGAUGCUUUGGGAUUGCAGACAAUGCGGGCGCAGACCGGAUCCAUCCUAGCGUCCCCGCCCCCGCCCUCAAAACCCUCCAUCGUUCAACAAGCGGAUUCUGCGUUGUAACAGUACAUUUAAUUUCUUUUUCGCGGGAGAGGCUGUUGUUCCAUGGCAGAUAAAUGCCUUAAAAUGAGUCUCUGGGCAGCCCUGCCUGUGAGUGUGGAGUCGCAGUCACUUGAGCUCCUUGUCACCAGGUGGUACCCAAAGCAGAUGACUUCAUUAGCACAGAGACAGCGGCCGAGUUUGGGAGAGCAGAAGUCAGACCAAGACAUAGACAAAGGGAGUUGAAUGGGAGAGGAGGUGAGAAAAGAAGGAAGGAAACAGAAAGUAGGAAGGAAAAAAAAAAGGCAUGGGGCUCAUAAAGAUGCGAGCAAUACUCUUUGAAGUGAGGUCUCCAUUCUCCCUCUCAACCACAACCAUUCAAGCCCUUUUCACCAGAGUCAUUGUGCGGACAGGUUUCCAGUCUAAUCCUGGGGCUUAGGGUACAAUGGAGAUCUCAUUAUCAUGGCAGCUAAAGUGUGGAAGUAGUCUCUAUGGAAUCUCCAUGUUCCUGGAAAGAAUCCCGAGGUUCCUUGACACCUUUUGAUCUGCAACAUCCCCCAGACUUCGCCAAGUUGUCCCACUUCGUAGGUGCACGUUUCUUCUUCUAAAUUCAGAUGCUUAAUGAGCCUGCAGUUCUGGUAGGAGUCCCAGACUAGUGGUAUCCACGGCCCUGCCCGAUCCUCAAGGGUAUCCUUCAAGUGAAGCAGGCUCCUUGGAGUUGCACGUAUGACCUUCAAUGACUGUCCUGGUGCCACAUCCCAACACCUCUAUAGUGAGUAGGGGCCAACCUCUUAAUCCUAGGUGUGGCUAGGCGCCUGUUUCAACAGAUAGUUAUGUCCACCUCAUCUAAUUCGGAAAAGCACCAGUUAUGUUUUGUCCUGUUAGUGCCAGGAAAUUGAGCUUGGCCUGAUUCAGGCAAAAUGCUCUAAAGAUUGCUGUUCCCCACACUUCCACCUCCCAUCAGGGAAAAGCAUUCUACCGAUAGCAGAGAUGGUUCUCCUUUUGGUCCAGUCUCUAAUUUCUCUUCUCCAAAUGCCAGCCCUGGAGGUUGACAUACAGUGCUGUGUGUCAGUUAUAUCUCAAUGAAAGUGGAGGCAAAAUAAAUAAAUAAAUACAUACAUACAUACAUAAAUAAAAUAUAUAAGUUUACUGAUUGCAGUGUUUUCAGUAUUUCUAUAGGUAGGAUUGAGAUGAUGGAGUUAUGUAUGUGAACUGUACUUACAAUAGCUCGAGAGAGAGAAUAAAGACAACAGCAUGUGGAUAGUGGCUCUGAGUAGCAGAAAUGCUAACGUGGAAUUGUCAACAGGGUAAAAUGCAUGACAUGCAAAUAGAAAAUGAACACAUGUCCAUCAAUGUAUUAAGUGAUGAGGAAACCAGUAAGAUAUUAAGACUGGCUCAAAGAAUAUUGAAAGAGCUAGAUGUUUACAGUCAAUCGAACAACAACAAAAAAAGUGCUAAGUUAUAAUGGUUGGACUGGAUACAAAACUGGUUAAUAUUCUACAGCACAGGCUGAUUAUUGAUGCUUUUCCGACUGGACAGAAAUUAUUUACAUCUCUACUGAACAAAAAUCUACAAGCUAACUUGUGGCUUCACUAAAACUUUAAUCAAGAAUAAACAGUGAGGCGUUCUCAUCGUGGCUUAGCAGAAACAUGCCCAACUUGUAUCUAUGGGAUGCCAGUUCGGUCCCUGUCCUUGCUCAGUGGGUUAAGGAUCCACGUUGCUGUGGCCAUGGUGUAGGCCAGCAGCUGCAGCUCUGAUUCGACCCGUAGCCUGGAAACUUCGGUAUGCUGUAUGUGUGGCUCUAAAAAGCAAAGUAAAUAAAUAAAAUAUAAAAUGAUGUGGUUUGCACUGUGUUUCACAUAUUUCUCUUGGUUCUAGAUAAUCCUUGGGUGGGGUCAUUGCCCUCUUACCUUGUUUAAAGGUCAUGCCAUCCAUUUUUAUGUCUCGUUUCCAAGUUUUGAAUAAUUUCUUUCAUCAGAAGUAUGAGUAAUUUUAUUUUUCUUCAUUUGCUUUGUCAUUUUACAAAAUCUCAAAUAGACAAGCAUUAAUUUUAUAGACUGGAAAAAAAAUUAUCGUGUACUUGGCUGUGAAUAAGAGUAAAAUGCCUGGUGACUCAGCAGGUUAAAGAUCCUGCCUUUGUCACUGCUGUGGCGCAGGUUCGAUUCCCAGCUCGGGAAAUUCUGCAUGGUGCGGGCACGGCAAAAAACAAACACAUGAGAAAAGUCAGGUUAGGAGAUAAAAAUCACACGAGCAGGAUUCCGAGUGGGACUCUCAUUGUAUAUUCAGCUGUGUUAACUCCAAAGUUCUCCUGUGAGUUAUUUUCACUAAUGAUUUUAAGCAGCCAAGCAUCUCUGAAAGUCCAUUUCAGAGAAAAUGAGAGAGGCCCCAGGCCUGGGUGUGAAAGCCUCAUCUGGGUAGAAGGAGCUUCACUGUACAGUGGUCUGAGUUCCACGCUUUCUCCCGGAAUUCUCAGCCUAGGAUUCACCACAUGGGGAAGUCAGGUGGUGUGUCAGCUUGAGUUUCAGAGUUCAGGUGGUGGAGAAGGCAGCGGGAUCAAGGUACCACAUCUGCUCCCUGUACAGCUGGACCAGACUGGGACAGCCUGACCAUCUCCACAUGGUCAGAGAUGGCCAUGACCCAAAGGGUGAGAGAUUCCCAGGGACCCUCCCAUCCUAGGCUGUUACAUCUUUACCUGCUGGACCAUCUCUGCAUUACAGGUUCACAGGUGCUUGUCAGCUUCAUUGGGUAAUGCUUGUCCUGAGGGAAACCCUUCGAGAGCUGGUUUCCAUUGUGUUGCUGUCUCAUAGAAUCCUCCUAUCUUUGGGUGAAAUACACGGACCAAAAAAGCCAAAGCACUGGGAUUUGUGUUCUAGUUUUCUACUAUCCUGUUCCCCACAGUGAACAAUGCAAAUCCGUCAACACAUGAGGAUAACUGUUAAACGCUGAGAUGUUAAGGUGACCUGCAAGCCUUAGGUUCUCCAAGAUAUAAUCAUUUUCUCUAAAGUAUACACAAUCCAAAAAAAGUAUACAAAAUGAAGAUUAGUAAUAGUAUCCCCAAUUCCCUGGGUUUUGAGGGAAGGGUAUAAUUUAUAUAGAAAAAUAAUAUUUAUACACAUUAUAAAACUCGAGGGGUAGUUUGCUUUAUUAUUUUUUAUUUUUAUUUUUUUGGCCCCACCCAUGGCAUACAGAAGUUCCCAGGUCAAGAAUUGAAUCCCAGCUGCAUAUUCGACCUGUGCCAUCGCUGGAGUAAUGCCAAAUCCUUAACCCACUGUGCCAUAGUGGGAACUCCUGGUAGUUUACUUUAAAAUAAAUUAUCCCUCUCUCCUUUUUUAACAUUUCUUCUGUUAGACGUGAUGGCAAAAAAGAUUCAUCCAUGUUUGUCUUCUCUUUGAAUUUUGAACUUUAAUCAAUUGUCCUGAUUUUCAAGUUCAUGUAGCAAAAUGGAGACCAGUUGCAGUUGAGACUGCUUCACUGAGGCCGAUUCAAUAAACAAGCUGAAAAGAAAGUGUCUUUCUGUAUAUGCUUCUAAUGGGGGGUGGGAAGUUUAUUUUUUCUUUCUGUUUUUUUAUUUUUUGUUUUUUGUUUUUGGCCACCCUAGUCAUAGCUGUGACAGUGCUGGAUCCUUAA